AAUUAUGCUACAAUCACUUUUUUGUAAUCUGCAUUUUCUCAUUGAGUAUAUAUAAACAUUUUCCUCCUGUCAUUAAGUGUCCUAUAUCAUCUUAAAUGACUGUAUGCUGUAUGGAUUAAAAAAUAUGUGAACUGCUUUACUUGCAAAACAAACUUCUGGUUUUUGUUUUUGUCCUUUUUUUGUCUUCUUUCUUUGGUGGGUAGGUAGGAGAGGAUAAAAAUUGUUUUCUAGGUUUAUCUCUCUUAUUUGUUUUCCCUAAUGAUGGUUCAGUAGUUUGAAAGAUGCAACUCAAUCCAUACCUUAUGCGUGACAAUGACAGGAUUUAGUACGAUAACCCUCUCCGGGAAUUCAUUGCCUGCCAAGACCUAGAGCUGAAAGAUUUACUGAUGCUACAGAGUUUGCUAUCAACAGGAGUCACAUGAAAGGCACAGAGUUACUGUCUAUCUUUCAGUUACUCUCUGCAGGAAUGCCUGCCUUCCAUUCUGCAACAGCUACCUCAGGUUCCUGAAAUAUGCAAACCAGCAAGUGACAAAUGCUUUUUAGAAAGGUACAAUUGCACUCAAAUUGAAAAUGGAGGAAGUUGGUCAAAGAACAAGGAAAGAAAGGCAUUAAAAAUUAAUCAUUCCAGGGCCGUAAAGUCAGUUGUAAACUCUUGGCGAUAAAAAAUUAAAUGAGGAAGAAGUUAGUGUUUUAAGCAGAGAUUUAGAUUUUCUAGGGGAGAACUUGAUAGCCGUACCAGAUUGGGGAGCUGGCAAAAUUUACUGGGGAAGCCCAAGUGUCUCAUUCCACUAGGGGCUGCGGAAAGCAUAAACCAAUCAUCAAAUGAAACAUCAUUUAUAUUAUUUAGUAUCACCGUGAAAAACCUUGGCUGUUAAAGAAAAUGGCACUUUUGACCGACUGAGAAUACUGUCUAUUCAGAACAGAUUAAAGUAGCAAAAAGUGGAUAAAUGCUAAAAAAAAUACAUCACUGCUGAGAGAAGCCCAGAGGAAGUAUUGCAGAAAUAUUUAAUAUUAGGGGACUGUAGACUCCAAGUAAUAAUAUUUAUCUGUCAUUCUUGUUCAAAUAGCAAAGCCUAACCUGGGAUUAUGUGUUCAUUGGUAGGUCGUCUCUGGGUGGGCUUAAAUGGUCAGAUCUUUGAACCCAAAGGAAAGUCAAACCGGAUUUGUUACAGGUUCUGAACAAAGUUAGUGCAUAUUUCCCUGACAAACUCCUUUUUAAAGGCUUUGAAGUGAUCAAAAAUAAAGAUAUUAAAACAUAGGGGUUAAGAGAACUUGUUUGGGCAUUAAAGAGAUCUCUCCCUGAAUGCUGGCUGUGCUACUAGCUGAAAAGCUUUGAGAAAUCACUUCUCUUACUUGAACUUUGAUUGCUCAGUCUGUAAAAUAGGAAUGAGAGUAAAUGGUAUCUUUGUGAUGAAUGAGACAAUAGAUGUAAAGAACCUCACGUAGGUCUGUGUGCAUGGUGAGUCUUCAAUAAAUGGUAGCUUCUUACUCUAUUCUUUUUUCUUAGCUAAUCACACAAAAAUGAGACAGAUGUGUGGGAAAUGGCUGGAAGAUGGCUGGGAUUGCCCAUCAUCCCACACCUUUGAUGCUUUCUUAUCGGAUGUUCGAGUCUCGGCUGCUCCACUUCUAAUCCAGUUCUCUGCUGUGGCCUGGGAAAGCAGUAGCAGAUGGCCCAAGUCUUUGGACCCCUGCACCCACAUGGAAGACUUGGAAGAAGCUCCUGGCUCCUGGCUUUGGAUUGGCUCCACUCUGACUGUUGCAGCCAAUUGAGGAUUGAACCAGCAGUCCGAGUUCGACAGUGAGAGAGCGAGACAGAGAGAAAGGUCUUCCUUUUUCGUUGGUUCACCCCCCAAGUGGCCGCUACGGCCGGUGCAUGCUGCACCAAUCCAAAGCCAGGAGCCAGGUGCUUCCUCCUGGUCUCUCAUGCAGGUGCAGGGCCCAAGGACCUGGGCCAUCCUCCACUGCACUCCCAGGCCACAGCAGAGAGCUGGAUUAGAAGAGGAGCAACUGGGACAGAAUCUGGCACCCCAACCGGGACUAGAACCCAGGGUGCUGGCACCACAGGCAGAGGAUUAGCCAAGUGAGCCAAGGCGCCGGCCAAGUUCUUUUCUAAACUUAUUUGUGCAAUUAUUUGUUCCAUGUGUUUUCUGUCUGAUGGAUUUUAUGCUGUAUGAUAAAAGCUUUCUUUUCUGUAUUGCUAACCCAGUGUGCUACUUGUAACAAAGAAGGUUGACAACAAAUAUCUGUUGAAUGGAUACAUGCAUAUUUCUUCAGGUUCCUUCUCUAUUUGGGAAUACCAGAGGUAUGAAUCUCAUGCAAUGGUUAUUGGAAAUUUUUUUAUAUGAUCUUAUUCCAGACAUCCAGUUUUAAUACCAUUUCUAUAAGUGCCAACUUCCCAUUAAUACUCAAACUAAAGAGAUGAAUAAUGAUGUGGACCUAAAAUGGGAAAUGUUUGGGGCUGGUAUUAUGGUGGGUUAAAUCAUUGCCUGUGAUGUUGGCAUCCCAUAAAGGAGCACCACUUCAAGUCCCAGGUGCUCCACUUCCCAUUUAACUCCCUACUGAUGUACCUGGAAAAGGUGGAAGAUGGCCCAAGUACAUGGAACCUGCCACCUAUGUAUGAGACCCAGAUGGAAUUUCAGGCUCCCAACUUUGGACUGGCCCAGACCUGGCUGUUGCAGCCAUUUGGGGUAGUGAAGAGCAGAUGAAAAAUCUCUUUCUCUCUGUUUCUCCUUCCUGCUCUAUCACGUUGCCUUUCAAAUACAUAAAAUAAAAUAUUUUUAUAAAAUAGGAAAUGUUGAAGAUAAGAAGGGAAUAGCUAGGAUUCAGAGCUCCAGACUCUAUCUCUUUAAAUGCUUUCAGAUUUAUUUUCAAAAAGCAGCAGCUGGGAGGAGGAACAUGAUGCCUAUCUGAUGCCCACAUAAUUGUUCAUUUCUGAGCAGACAGCCUGUGCUGUAAACAUCAAGUUUUUUCUUUUUAUUUGCUUCCCUCUUUUGUUUAGCUAAAAGUAAUUAUGUUUGCGUUAGAUUAAGCAUUGGCUUGUUCCUGUGCAGAACAAUAGAAACUUUCCCCUCCCAUCGUGUGUUCACUGUGUCAUCCUGACAGUCGCACUCAGGAGCAAUGCCAUAGUCACUUUGCAGCCCUGUCCUGGAGCUGUGUCUGGAGAGACACUGAAUUUCCCUUUGCAGAAAGGAAAGGGGGCUGGAAAGAAAUUGGAAGGGGAGACUGGGGUUACUACAGCUAACAAGGACUAACAAAAUCAAACAAAAUAUUGAAAAAAGGCUUAUGAUUUCACAUUCCUAGAAGAUUUCAGGGGAAGAACUAAAUUCUUUCUUAGUCAUCUAAUGCAGCAGAAAAACAAUUAAAUUGUUUGUGAUCUCAAUCCUUUACUUCUGUUUACUGUGUUUUGUGGCCACUGGGUCCACAGGGAUUUCUUCAGAUGUAUGAGUUCCUUACAACCUCCAAUUUUCCUUGGAUAGAAUUUGGAUAGGAUUCCUCCCUGCCGUCAGACAGUAGAAACUAGGAAAGAAUGGGGAGCCUCUGUAGGUAGAUCUCAGAGAGGCAUAGUCCAGAGAGCAGGGAGAGCUGUCAAUGCCUCUGUCUUCCUGAAGCUUUGCAAAGACAGAGGAAUGAUUUUCUGCACCUGCACCAACCAAGCAGCAGUCAUGUUGCUCCAUAAUCAAAAUUCUACUGAAAACUGGAAGAACAAAACAUGUCUAUCCUUCUCCCCAAAGACGGUGUACAUUGCUUUUCCUCAUGGAGUUCAUAGAUAGUUUCUGAGCUACGAACCUGGUCAGAAUGACUAGGCUUGUUGGUGCAUGGGAGGUGACAGUGUGGAGACAUAUGGAAACAAUAGAGCCUUGGAGAUGUUUGGGUUAGAAUUCAGGCUCUGUCAUUUAUCAAUUGUGACAACAUAAGCACAUUAUUUAUUCCAUUAGAGUUUUCCUCUAUUAUUAAGCCAAUAGUAAGUGUUCACUUCUGGGGAUGGUUGUGAGGCAGAAAAAUGAGAUAAUGUAGGUACAGCAUCAGCAUAGUAUCUGGUAUAGAAUCAUCUUUCAAAAAGGAAUGGCCAGAAAAAUCCCUUAAAGCAUUUUACUAUUCUUGGCAGAUUAUGCCAGUAGCUAAAACAGCCCCACAAUUUCCAUUUAUACAGGAUUUCACAGUACAUCCUAUGUGUUACCAAAUUAUGUAUUGUAUAUUGUUUUAUCGGUAGAAAUGUCAUUUAAGGUAGGGACAUAAAGAUGUGCCUUAUUUACAUUGCUCCUCAUUAAUGAGUAUGUUAAACAGAACAGAAGGCUUUGAGAACUAUUUAUUGAUCACCUACUCUUGGCAGUCUAACACAAAAUCUCCCUUGAUCGUCACAAUGACUUUGUGGAGAAGGUUUUAUUGAUAUCCCCGUUUUACAGAUAUGAAAGUGGAGGCUGGGAGAGGUCAAAUAUUUUACAUAAUGAUAAAUGAGGAAGAAGUAAUGAUGGAUUGAAGACAACAUACCUGACAUAGAGUGUUUGAUCCUUCAUUCUCUUUCCCUCUGUUAUGAAAGGUACAAAGGUGAAUUCUCAGGCCGGCGCCGCGGCUCAAUAGGCUAAUCCUCCGCCUAGCGGCGCCGGCACACCGGGUUCUAGUCCCGGUCGGGGUGCCGGAUUCUGUCCCGGUUGCCCCUCUUCCAGGCCAGCCCUCUGCUGUGGCCAGGGAGUGCAGUGGAGGAUGGCCCAGGUGCUUGGGCCCUGCACCCCACGGGAGACCAGGAAAAGCACCUGGCUCCUGGCUCCUGCCAUCGGAUCAGCGCGGUGCGCCGGCCGCAGCGCGCCGGCCGCGGCGGCCAUUGGAGGGUGAACCAAUGGCAAAGGAAGACCUUUCUCUCUGUCUCUCUCUCUCACUGUCCACUCCGCCUGUCAAAAAAAACCCAAAAAACAAAACAAAACAAAAAAAGGUGAAUUCUCAAAGCAGGACAGAGGAAGAUAGAUGUAUUCUUAAUGCCUGUGAGUACGAGAAAAUUGUCUUUUUCAUCCAGAAUAGAGACUUCCCAGAAUGCUCCAAGAAUUCACCUUCUCUCCUUAAAUGAUGGAUUGUUACACCUUGAAGGUGGAUGAAAAGGGUCCUACAGAGGAAGAAGGGAGUGAAGGCCCUGUGCGGAAUGCACAUUUCCUCUACUGGUGUUUUCUUCAUGACAAGGCACGGAGCUGUGAGCUGUAGGUGUUAUUGAUUUACCUCUAGGGAAAACCUCUGGUUUAUCUUCUUUUAUAGCCCAGGAAACCUUUUGUUUAUGAAAUUAUUGUGUAUCUUUUAGCCACAUGUUAAAUCCAGAAACAAGGGGUUUGUGUGCAGAGUUUGAGUAAUGGACUGACACGAGAUAAUUUCUCUUUGCUGACAGUAUCCCAUUAACCACCCAAACCCAUACUCAGCCAUUGUUCAGGGCACACUCAGUCUGUUUCGCAGGGAGUCAUUGUAAGACAUUGAGUUAUAAAAGAGAUAUGCGUUCCUAAAGCCAUAACAGAUUGAUACACUUGACAACUCGGUUUUAAAAUUACUUUUUGUUCAGAAUAAUUUGAGAUAAUUCAGUUAAGAUUUGUGUUGUUUCUCCCCGCUCUCUCCCUGUAUAAAGCUGAAUUCAGUAAUGCUGAAUGGUAUCUUGCUAUAAACCUACUAAGUUUUUUGGUUGCUUAGAAAACCCUUCCACUAAUCGCCAUGCCAAUUUUUCAUGGUUGGGGAAUGUAAAUAAGAACAAAACCCACAGUUCUUAGUGUACCUGUGAUCUUGUAGGACAGAUGUGGGGGUGGAGGUGAGAUACAACUAUAAACAAGAUGCUCUCGCUUUCAAGAUCUUAUCAUACAACUGACCAAGUCAGACAUUCCUGUCAAAUAAACCCAAUGGACUAGUACGAAGAUUGCAGGAUCCAUGAGAUUCAACACAUGGAAUGAGUUGUCCACUGCUAUAUUCCCAAUCUGGUAUAUAGUAUACGAUAAAUAAAUACGUAUUCAAUGACUGAAUAAAUUAAUGGUUUAAUAGGCAAAUGAAGGGCAUAGAUAGCUUAAUAGCAAAAGAAAAAUUAUAGGUGUUAGAACAAAAGGGAGAAUUCUGGCUUCAUUGUUUAGUAAGUGAUUGGGGGAUAGUCAUUCUAUUAUUUCAUAUUUAAAGUGGAUAUAUAAUAAUUUUCUUUCUGGUUUGUGAUAACUCAAUGAGAAACUCUUUGAAAAGAAUCCUGAAUGAAUAAAUAUGUAUGUAUACAUGUAUGUAUAUAUUUCUAUAUUUCCUCCCUUAUUCUUUUAAGAUUUAUUUAUGUAUUUGAAAUGCAGAGUUAUAGAGAGGCCAAAGGCAGAGAGAGAGAGAGAGAGCUAUUAUUCCCAAAAGACAACCCAAAGAGGAAAAGAAGGAUUUACAACUGGAGGAAGAUAAUUAUAUUUGCUCAUGUGAUGGCUGUUAAAUGUUUUCUGUGCUAUAUCAUUUUCUUGUGCAGACUUGCCUCUCUUUUACCCUCUAUUUUAGUAGUAUGAUGGUAGAUAAUUUCUUCAUCUCUGUUUUGUUCCAUUCCAGGUUCCCCUUGUAACUCAGAAGUAGUCAAUAGGAGCAUUCCAUCUUUUGGUCAAUGACUUCAGCUAGGAGGUUAACAACUUUUAUUGGGAAAUUUUAUGAAGUCACUAGAAAAGAUGCAUCCUGUUUCUCAGGUAUUUGUGUAAGGGCAGAUGAAUUUUAGAAGCCUAUCUGAAGAUGAAAGACCCAGAGGCACUGAAAACAUAUACACACUUAAAUAGGAGAGAAGGAAAAAAGGAGAGGAGGGUUAGGGAGAAGGGAACACUAUGCUGAGACUGUUUGAACUUCUGGAUCUAACUGUAAGGGUAACUUUGAAUUUUAACCCAUGACAGUCAAAUAGGAUACAAAGGAAAAAUCCAGGGUCAAGAGUAAAUGACUGGGCCAGCGCCGCGGCUCAAUAGGCUAAUCCUCUGCCUUGUGGCGCCGGCACACCAGGUUCUAGUCCCGGUCGGGGCGCCGAAUUCUGUCCUGGUUGCCCCUCUUCCAGGCCAGCUCUCUGCUGUGGCCAGGGAGUGCAGUGGAGGAUUGCCCAAGUGCCUGGGCCCUGCACCCCAUGGGAGACCAGGAUAAGUACUUGGCUCCUGCCAUCAGAUCAGCGCGGUAUGCCGGCUGCAGCACGCCGGCCGCGGCGGCCAUUGGAGGGUGAACCAACGGCAAAGGAAGACCUUUCUCUCUGUCUCUCUCUCUCACUGUCCACUCUGCCUGUCAAAAAAAAAAAAAAAAAAAAAGAAUAAAUGGAUGGCAAAAAAAGGGGAGGUGUCUACUGCUGAAGUGAAGUCUACGGAGGAGCUCUGAGAGACAAAAGGGAGAAAUUUUUCUUGAAUAAAUUCUAGGAUAAUCAUUUCUUCUGAUGAUGAGAAAAAAGAUAAUAGCACAAAAAAGUACAGAGAAGUGUUAAUGUGGAGAGAAAUAAAAUUGAAGAAAUGGAUAUUAAAUGGCUAAGAUAACCUUCAUAUGGUAGGAAGAAAUGCCUCCAAUAAUUUUUCAGAAAAUCAACAUGUUAUAUUGAUUUUUUCAUAAACUACAUAUGAGAUAUUGCUUUCAUUAUGAUGCUGUUUUUGUGACUGGGUUAUAUAGGUGAUUGAUUACAAACAGUAUGGAGAAAUAUGAAAAGAAUAUAUGGCAAAUCCUUGAAAUGCAAUCACACACACACACACACACACACAUCUCGUGGGCAUAGAUGCAUUUUCUGUUGCAGCCCUGCUCCUUGUGAAUGUAGCCAUGAUUCAACCAAAUUACUGGAAUGUAGUCUACUUUGUUAUCAUUAAUGAUCCAAUUCAUGGUAAUAUUUUAUGAACAUGGUCCUUCUUGGUCUGUCAGUUUUUCUUUUUAAAUUCUUUUUCACCUUAUUCCUUCCUUGUGAAUAUUUACAGUGUGGUAGGCAUGAGCACCACAAAUUUGAACAAUAUCCAUAUGGUUUCUGUCAUCACAGUGGUGAACAAACUGUUGGAAAGAUUAAGAGAGAUCCAAAUACUUCAGGAGUCUGAAGUCUUGUAUAUAUUUUACCAAUUUUUUUUUUGACAGGCAGAGUGGACAGUGAGAGAGAUAGAGAGAGAGACAAAGGUCUUCCUUUUGCCAUUAGUGUACCCUCCAAUGGCCACCACGGCUGGCACACUGCGGCCAGUGCAUCAGUGCUGAUCUGAUGGCAGGAGCCAGGUGCUUCACCUGGUCUCCCAUGGGGUGCAGGGCCCAAGCACUUGGGUCAUCCUCCACUGCACUCCUGGGCCAUAGCAGAGAGCUGGCCUGGAAGAGGGGCAACCGGGACAGAAUUUGGCGCCCCGACCGGGACUAGAACCCGGUGUGCCGGCGCCGCAAGGCGUAGGAUUAGCCUAGUGAGCCACAGUGCCGGCCUUUUACCAAUGUUUUUAAAGAACUUUGCUUAUUCAUAAAUUGUCAAGACAGAAUCAGCUGUGCUUAUUUUUAUAGAAAUAUGGAAGUUGAUUUUGUCCAUCAAGCUUGAUCAUUUUUAGGGAUAAACCUUUAGAGAGAAGUCAGUCUUUUAGAAUAGUGUGAUUGACCAGAAUGCAUUCAGCUUUCUUUUAUUUAACUGAAGAUUAAUAAUUAUAUUUUAGUAUAUACCAUUUACUUUGCUACUCUAUCUCCACUUGACAAGUAUUCAUUGAGCAAAAGCUUUAUUUGAUUUGUAUGUGUGUGUGUUGUGUGUGUUUUGUGAUGGGUGAAGGACAUUAAAUUAUUUGCAAUGAUUUCUUAAUCUUCCUGAAAGGUUUUGUCACAGGGCAGGAGUUCACUGUGUGGGUGAGCUGGAGGGAUAUUAGCCCCUGGAGAGGUUACACAAACUAUUGCACCAAACUACAAACUAGCAGUGGGAAUGUAAUGGAGAAUUGAAAAGGAAAAUAUUUCAUGUACUUUGCCUUGUCAUGUUAAAGAAUGUACUACUCCCUGUAGGGUUUAAAUUUCAACAAUGGCUGGCAUGAAAAGAUAUACAAGCAUUGCUCAAUAUAUUUAAUUCAGCCUGUGCUUAUAUAACACCUAAAACGGGUCUGCUCAGAAGUUUGAUUCAGCUAAAGAAAAGUUCUUUCUGUUCCCUUAUCUGCUUUGAACUUCAGUCAUGGUUGGCUGUGUUGUCUACCUCAUUCAUGGGUGACUUGGAACAUCACAGACAUAACCAAGGCUUCUGUGCAUGAAGGUCUUCAAAAAGUUCAUGGAAAAUUGGCAUUACAAAACAAUCUAUGCAUGGAUUCAUUAUUUGCACCAAAAUAAACUUAUCUUUUACCCUGGUAGUAUGACUGUUUAUUUGCCAUUAAAUUCAUCUAGUUUAGUUUUACUAUUUGGAGAAAAACACAGUUGGUAUGGAAUUAUCUUCUCUCUUAUUUGCCAUUUUAUUUAUAUGUCUAUUUGGAUAUAGAAAACAAGGAUAGGAAAAAAAUAACUGGCUGUCAUAUUUUGUAAAUCAUAUCACUCUGUUCUUAUUUUAGCAACUGACAUUCAAACCCAUACAUUAUUCCCUUCUCCAAAAGUUACUGGUUUAUUCUGUUAACAGAAAAUCAACAUUGCUCAAAGGAAAGAAUACUUGAACUGGGGAUCAGAAACCUGAUUUUCAUUUCACCUGCUAUAAUCAUAAUAUGUAUAGCCUUGAGUUUUCAGUUAACCUUUCUACAUCAUGUAAUUUUAUAAAACAAGGACAGUAAUAGGAACACAUUCUUUUCAGAUCACAUUCUGAAUCAAAUGAGAUAAAUUAUGUGACAGUAUUUUGUAUGUUUAUAUAGUACUGUAAGAGUGAAAAUUAUGAUUAUGGUAGUGAAUGCCUAUACCAUUUCUUCCACACACUUCUUGCUUGAGAUCUCAGAACUGUCUCUAGAGUCACAUUUUAUGGGAAUAACUGAGCAUCAAUAUUCUAUGCUUACUAUAAAGAAAAGUUCUACCUUGUUUCUCUCACUAAGUAUAGUUCAUCGUCUUGUCUGUCAGCAAAAUGAUUUUAAGACACACAGUGUUAUAAAGCCUCAUCUACAUGCAUUUUAUUAUAGGUCCAUUAUUAAACACAGGGAUUCCUUUAUUUCAAAUAGAUGCAGAGUAAACUAGAUGCAGAGUAAAAAGCAGCAGGUUUUGUAAAAAUUUCUGUAUUUUAUUGUUGUUUAAACCUGGGUGUUGAUAUUUACUUAAAGAAAAAAAGGUCCUAAUUGAUUUAAUGUCUAUUUGAGUGUAUUUUUAAAAUCUUCUUUUGGCAUAUAAUUUUAGUUCUUUUGACAUAUCUUGCAUUAUUCAAUAGAGUAUUUAAUAGUAAUUUAAUUUUUACUUUAUCACAUAUAAUUUUUAAGUGAUCCAAAGAUCUUCAAAAAUGCAAUUUUAAAGAGAAAUUAUGUGAGUAUUGUGAAGUAAAGAAUGGUCAGAAAAACUGUGUCUAAAUAGCAGUGAUUGUGAAAGAACAUAAAUUUCAGCAAAGUUAACAUAAGAAUACGUUUCUGAAGGUGUUCAUCUUGGGAUAUGGACCAACUUGGUGACGGUCAAGCUUGAAAGACAGUAUAGUCAGGGCUGGCACCGUGGCUCACUUGGUUAAUCCUCCACCUGCAGCUCUGGCAUCCCAUAUGGACACCGGAUUCUAGUCCUGGUUGCUCCUCUUCCAGUCCAGCUCUCUGCUGUGGCCCACGAGGGCAGUGGAGGAUGGCCCAAGUGCUUGGGCCCCUGCACCUGUGUAGAAGACCCAGAAGACGCUCUUCGCUCCUGGCUUCAGAUCGGUGCAGCUCUGGCCCUUGCAGCCAAUGGGGAGUGAACCAAUGGAAGGAAGACCUUUCUUUCUCUCUCUCACACUCUAUAACUCUACCUGUCAAAUAAAUAAAAUAAAAUAAAAUAAAAUAAAAUAAAAUAAAAUAAAAUAUAGUGUAUUUCUAUGGAGUUCUGCUGGAUACCACAUGGCCAUAAAUCUCUUAGUUUCCUUUGAGUUCAGCUGUUCUCUAGUUUCACUCUAUAUUGUAUAAUCAUAAUACUUUACCAUGAAAUAGGUGAGGUUGAGUGAUGAGUGGAAAGGUGUUAUGGCUUGCAUCAAUAAAAUUACCCUUUUAGCAUGUAAUCCUCACAUUUUAUGAUUGAAUAUGCAUAAAUGUAUUCAUAUGUACAGAUGGGGUAAGAAGCUUAUUUAUUGGAUUUCACUUUGAGAAAUCUCCUUGAAAAGGUUAAAUUCAAAGCAUUGACAAUGAAGUAAUGCGGCUGGUACUCAUAUAUUGCAAGUAAAAUAUAAGUUACUAUAAACACUUUAAAAAUUGUUGGUAGGUAUCUAAUAAAAUUUAACAUUCAUAGGCUUUGUAGUCAAGAUUUCUUUUUUUAGAGAUUUAUUUGAGAAGUAGAGUUACAGAGAGAGAGAAGGAGGGGGGAGAGAGAGAGAGAGAGAGAGAAUCUUCCAUCUUCUGGUUCACUCCCAAAUGGCUGCAAUGGCAUGGCUGUGCCAGGUCAAUGUCAGAAUCCAGGAGCUUCUUCCACAUCUCCCAUGUGGGUGCAGGGGCCUAGGGACUUGGGCCAUCUUCUGCUGCUUUUCUAGGUGCAUUAGCAGGGGACUGGAGUGGAAGUGAAGCAGCCAGGACUUGAACUGGUGCCUAUGGAAUGCCAGCACUGCAGGCUGCAGUUUAACUUGCUGUUCCAUGGUGUCAGGCCCAGUAGUCAAGAUUUCUAGCUUUUAGGAAUAUACCUAACAGAAAUUUGUACAUAUAUGCACCAAAAGAUGUAUAUAAGAAUAUCCAUGUUAACAUUAUUAUUAAUACUACCAAACUAGAGGCUCAUAUGUCCCUAAAUAGUAGACUGGAUACAUAAAUUGUGACAUAUGUAUUUAAUGAUGAAUAAUAUGGAAUGUAUAAUGAUGCAUGAUGAAAAUGUAUAAUGUAGCUAUAAACUCCAACCAGCAUGGAGAGCACAAGUGUAAUGCUGAGUGAAAGAAGCUAGCUGUAAAAAUAUCAUUAAUGAGUCCAUUUAUGUAUUUAUUGAAUUUUUUUAACAAAAUGAAUUUGUCUUUGAAUUCCAUUUUCCCAAUUACUUUAAAAAAAUUUUUAUUUGAGAAGCAGAGCAACACAGAGAGACAGAGAAGAAUAGAGAGAGAGAGGAGAGAAAGAGAGAGGGAGAGAGAGAGAGAGAAUGAAAGAGAGAGAGAAACUCUAAUCUGCUGGUUCAUUACAAAUGCCUGCAAAUGGGCCAUGCUGAGGUCAGGGGCCAAUAACUCAAUUGGUUCUCCCACAUGGAGGCAGGAACUCAGUUAUUUGAGCAAUUACAUAGUGCUUCCCAGGGUCUGAAUUAGCAGGGAUCUGGAGUCAAGAAUGGAGCUGGUAUUUGAACCAAGUACUCUGUUAAAAAAUAUGGGUGUCUUUGCUAGGCUCCUUAACCACUAAACAAAUGCUUGCUCCUGUACCCCCAUUUAUAUUUUAAAAACUGAUAAAACUCUUAUCUAUGGUGAUAGAAGUCAGAACAUGAUUACUUUGUUGAAAGAGGAUAGCUUUGAGGAGGCAUGAGGAAGCUUCUGAAAUACUGGUAAUAUUUUAUCUCUAAGUCUAGGUGAUAGUUACACUAGUGUGUGAACUUUAUGAUCAUUUAUUUAAUGAAACACUUAUAAUUAAGGCACAUUCCUGUAAACACAUUCUACUUCAAAAUGUUACAGUAAAAAUAAUAUUCUGCUAAAAAUCAACCAGAACAUCAAUCAAAUGUCAAAGUAGAAUAAAGACCCAUUUUAAAAGUCACACACAGAAUUUUACAGAUAAAUCCUAGAAAAUUGGGGGAUUAGGCUAAGAAUCAUGAAGAUGUAGAAUAUAUGAAGAGAAUCUAGUUUGAAAAGAAAAAGUAAGGGAAAUUCAGUCUGACAAUUGUGAGGAAACCAAGAGCACAGGAGUCCUAGUUGAGCUAGAGGGAAGAUGGUUCUGGGAUGGUAUUUAAGAGCCUUGAUAUCAUCCCAGAGAAAAGGAAGAAUUUAAGGAUUCAGUAAGGCAAACAAUGCAAGAAAAGAAUAAAGGCCAAUACAGAAAUAUCAACAUAAGCAAAAGGUAGUAUAAGACAGAAAAUAAAACCACAGAAUUUUUCUUGGCUCUGCCACAAGUGAUAUUUGCACAGUUACAGUGAUAUAGACCAUGUUUAUUAGUAUCCAAAUCUCAAGGCUUAAAUGUUGAUUUCAGAACAGACCUCAAAGUUAUUUUUGAAAUGUAAAAAUAAAAUUAUGGGUGAUAGAAUCACAGUGGUAGAAACAUGCAUGAGGAGUGAGAAAAUUGAUGGGAACACAGCCCUUGAUUUUAAAAACGCGUUUGCCAUGAUGUGGCUAUGGCUGACUGGUUAAACUUGAAAUAUUGGAGUGCAUUAUUUAAAGUCAAAAGAAAUAGCCAGUAAAAAGACUAAAAACACUUAUCUCUAGGUAGAGGGAUAUAACAGGAAAAUGGGCUAUCGGUAAGCUAAAUCUUCAUCUAUUGUAUUAGGAAGUCAAACAAUAACUUCAUUACAUUGAUGAAUCAAGAAAUAGUAGAGUGAGUGAAUAAUUAAGAGAGACAAAGAUCUCAGUAAGGAACUGAGCACUUGAGAGUUAUAAGUGGUUACUUUUGAGGUUGUGCAUUUGGCCUAGUGGUUAAGCUCCUAUCUGGGAUGCUAUAUCCUAUUUUGGAGUGCCUGGGGUAGAGUCCUGACUCUGCUCCCAGUUCCAGCUUCCGCCCAUGUGCACCCUUGGAGGCAAGAGAUGAUGGCCCAAGUACUUGAGACUCUGCCAACCACAUGGGAGACUCAGACUGAAUUUCUGAAUCUUGGCUUUGGCCUGGUACAUUCUGAGGCCAUUUCAGCAUUUGGGAAGGAAACCAGCAGAUGGAAAUUCUGUCUGUAUGUCUUUCUGUCUCUGUUUGUUUGCCUCUAAAA